rnacentral:rRNA from 1 species
GCUGGGUAGGGGAGCGUUGUAUACGCGGUGAAACAGUAGCGCAAGCGGCUGUGGAGUGUAUAGAAGUGGGAAUGCCGGAAUGAGUAGCGCGAAUGCAGUGAGAAUCUGCAUGGCCGAAAGCCUCAGGUUUCUGGAGGAAGGUUCGUCCGCUCCAGGUCAGUCGGGAGCUAAGGUGAGGCCUAACGGCGUAGCCGAUGCACAGACGGUAGAGAUUCCGUCACCACCAAAAGAGUUAAGCACAGGGACACAUAUGAAGUCUCGGAGCCGGGUGUUGGUUCCGGUAGCGAUCGAGGGAAGUUAGUACCGAAGUCCGGGAUGGAAGAUGGCGAGAAAAGCUGUGUGUAUUUCUGCGGUGCCCGUACCGCAAACCGACACAGGUAGGUAGGAAGAAGAUUCUAAGGCCAACGGGAGAAGGGUUGUUAAGGAACUCGGCAAAUUGACCCCGUAACUUCGGGAGAAGGGGUGCUGCAGCAAUGCAGCCGCAGAGAAUCGGCCCAAGCAACUGUUUACCAAAAACACAGGUUUGUGCUAAAUCGAAAGAUGACGUAUACGAGCUGACGCCUGCCCGGUGCUGGAAGGUUAAGAGGAGAUGUGCAAGCAUUGAAUCGAAGCCCCAGUGAACGGCGGCCGUAACAAUAACGGUCCUAAGGUAGCGAAAUUCCUUGUCAGGUAAGUUCUGACCCGCAUGAAAGGCGUAAUGAUUUGGGCACUGUCUCAACAGCCCGCCCGGCGAAAUUGUAGUACCGGUGAAGAUGCCGGUUACCCGCGACAAGACGGAAAGACCCCAUGGAGCUUUACUGUAGCCUAAUAUUGGGUUUCGAUGUUGCAUGCACAGGAUAGAUGGGACACUGGGAAGCAGGUGCUUUGGCGCUUGUGGAGUGGCCGUUGGGAUACCAUCCUUGCGAUAUUGGAAUUCUAACCUGCGCCUUUGAAUCAAGGCGGGGGACAUUGUUAGGUGGGCAGUUUGACUGGGGCGGUCGCCUCCUAAAGAGUAACGGAGGCGUUCAAAGGUUCGCUCAGCUUGAACGGAAAUCAAGCAAAAGAGUGCAAACGCAGAAGCGAGCCUAACUGCGAGACUGACGGGUCGAGCAGUAACGAAAGUUGGAGUUAGUGAUCCGGUGGUAUGUGAGUGGAAAUGCCAUCGCUCAACGGAUAAAAGUUACCCUGGGGAUAACAGGCUGAUCUCCCCCAAGAGUCCACAUCGACGGGGAGGUUUGGCACCUCGAUGUCGGCUCAUCGCAUCCUGGGGCUGUACUCGGUCCCAAGGGUUUGGCUGUUCGCCAAUUAAAGCGGUACGCGAGCUGGGUUCAGAACGUCGUGAGACAGUUCGGUCCCUAUCUGUCGUGGGCGCAGGAUAUUUGAUGGGAGCUGUUCCUAGUACGAGAGGACCGGAGCGGACGUACCUCUGGCGCACCAGUUGUUCUGCCAAGAGCAUAGCUGGGCAACUAUGUACGGAUCGGAUAAACGCUGAAAGCAUCUAAGCGUGAAGCCGACCCAAAGAUAAGAUAUCCCAUUGUUUUAAACAAGUAAGACCCCUUGAAGACUACAAGGCUGAUAGGCACGAUGUGUAAGUGGAGCGAUCCAUUCAGCAAGCGUGUACUAAUAGGUCGAGGGCUUGACCG